AACGAACGCUGGCGGCGUGCCUAACACAUGCAAGUCGAGCGGGAAAGUUCCCUUCGGGAGCAAGUACAGCGGCGAACGGGUGAGUAACACGUAGGUAACCUACCCUGGAGUCCGGGAUAACCUGCCGAAAGGCGGGCUAAUACCAGAUAAGACCACGAGGGCUGCGGCCCUUGGGGCAAAAGAUGGCCUCUGCUUGCAUGCUAUCACUCCGGGAUGGGCCUGCGCGCCAUUAGCAGUUGGUGGGUAACGGCUCACCAAGGCUGAGAUGGCUAGCUGGUCUGAGAGGAUGGCCAGCCACACUGGGACUGAGACACGGCCCAGACUCCUACGGGAGGCAGCAGUGGGGAAUAUUGCGCAAUGGGCGAAAGCCUGACGCAGCGACGCCGCGUGGGUGAUGAAGGCC
rnacentral:rRNA from 1 species